AUGCAAGUCGAACGCGAAAGCGCCUUCGGGUGUGAGUAGAGUGGCGGACGGGUGAGUAACGCGUGGGAAUCUGCCCUGCAGUGGGGGACAACCCGAGGAAACUCGGGCUAAUACCGCAUACGUCCUAUGGGAGAAAGGGGGCCUUCGGGCUCUCGCUGCAGGAUGAGCCCGCGUCCGAUUAGCUUGUUGGUAGGGUAACGGCCUACCAAGGCGACGAUCGGUAGCUGGUCUGAGAGGAUGAUCAGCCACACUGGGACUGAGACACGGCCCAGACUCCUACGGGAGGCAGCAGUGGGGAAUAUUGGACAAUGGGCGAAAGCCUGAUCCAGCAAUGCCGCGUGUGUGAAGAAGGCCUGCGGGUUGUAAAGCACUUUCAGUGGGGAAGAAAAGCGCAAGGUUAAUACCCUUGUGUGUUGACGUUACCCACAGAAGAAGCACCGGCUAACUCCGUGCCAGCAGCCGCGGUAAUACG
rnacentral:rRNA from 1 species